rnacentral:rRNA from 1 species
CUACGGGAGGCAGCAGUGAGGAAUAUUGCACAAUGGGGGGAACCCUGAUGCAGCAACGCCGCGUGGAGGAUGACGCAUUUCGGUGUGUAAACUCCUUUUAUAUGUCAAGAAAAUGACGGUAGCAUAUGAAUAAGCACCGGCUAACUCCGUGCCAGCAGCCGCGGUAAUACGGAGGGUGCAAGCGUUACUCGGAAUCACUGGGCGUAAAGGACGCGUAGGCGGGCUUGUAAGUCAGGUGUGAAAUCCUACAGCUUAACUGUAGAACUGCACUUGAAACUACGAGCCUAGAGUAUGGGAGGGGGAGAUGGAAUUAGUGGUGUAGGGGUAAAAUCCGUAGAUAUCACUAGGAAUACCUAAAGCGAAGGCGAUCUCCUGGAACAUAACUGACGCUAAGGCGUGAAAGCGUGGGGAGCAAACAGGAUUAGAUACCCGAGUAGUC